rnacentral:rRNA from 1 species
AGAGUUUGAUCCUGGCUCAGGACGAACGCUGGCGGCGUGCUUAACACAUGCAAGUCGAGCGAUGAAGCUUCCUUCGGGAAGUGGAUUAGCGGCGGACGGGUGAGUAACACGUGGGUAACCUGCCUCAAAGUGGGGGAUAGCCUUCCGAAAGGAAGAUUAAUACCGCAUAAUAUAAGAGAAUCGCAUGAUUUUUUUAUCAAAGAUUUAUUGCUUUGAGAUGGACCCGCGGCGCAUUAGCUAGUUGGUAAGGUAACGGCUUACCAAGGCAACGAUGCGUAGCCGACCUGAGAGGGUGAUCGGCCACAUUGGAACUGAGACACGGUCCAGACUCCUACGGGAGGCAGCAGUGGGGAAUAUUGCGCAAUGGGGGAAACCCUGACGCAGCAACGCCGCGUGGGUGAUGAAGGUCUUCGGAUUGUAAAGCCCUGUUUUCUAGGACGAUAAUGACGGUACUAGAGGAGGAAGCCACGGCUAACUACGUGCCAGCAGCCGCGGUAAUACGUAGGUGGCGAGCGUUGUCCGGAUUUACUGGGCGUAAAGGGUGCGUAGGCGGAUGUUUAAGUGGGAUGUGAAAUCCCCGGGCUUAACCUGGGGGCUGCAUUCCAAACUGGAUAUCUAGAGUGCAGGAGAGGAAAGCGGAAUUCCUAGUGUAGCGGUGAAAUGCGUAGAGAUUAGGAAGAACACCAGUGGCGAAGGCGGCUUUCUGGACUGUAACUGACGCUGAGGCACGAAAGCGUGGGUAGCAAACAGGAUUAGAUACCCUGGUAGUCCACGCCGUAAACGAUGGAUACUAGGUGUAGGGGGUAUCAACUCCCCCUGUGCCGCAGUUAACACAAUAAGUAUCCCGCCUGGGGAGUACGGUCGCAAGAUUAAAACUCAAAGGAAUUGACGGGGGCCCGCACAAGCAGCGGAGCAUGUGGUUUAAUUCGAAGCAACGCGAAGAACCUUACCUGGACUUGACAUCCCUUGCAUAGCCUAGAGAUAGGUGAAGCCCUUCGGGGCAAGGAGACAGGUGGUGCAUGGUUGUCGUCAGCUCGUGUCGUGAGAUGUUAGGUUAAGUCCUGCAACGAGCGCAACCCUUGUUAUUAGUUGCUACCAUUAAGUUGAGCACUCUAAUGAGACUGCCUGGGUAACCAGGAGGAAGGUGGGGAUGACGUCAAAUCAUCAUGCCCCUUAUGUCCAGGGCUACACACGUGCUACAAUGGUAGGUACAAUAAGACGCAAGACCGUGAGGUGGAGCAAAACUUAUAAAACCUAUCUCAGUUCGGAUUGUAGGCUGCAACUCGCCUACAUGAAGCUGGAGUUGCUAGUAAUCGCGAAUCAGAAUGUCGCGGUGAAUACGUUCCCGGGCCUUGUACACACCGCCCGUCACACCAUGAGAGCUGGUAACACCCGAAGUCCGUGAGGUAACCGUAAGGAACCAGCGGCCGAAGGUGGGAUUAGUGAUUGGGGUGAAGUCGUAACAAGGUAGCCGUAGGAGAACCUGCGGCUGGAUCACCU